AGGUAUAUGAAUUUAUUUUAAAUUAGUAUAUUUGCAAAUAAUACAAAUUAACUAAUACAUUAUAAUCUAUAAUGUUUAAUAUCUUAUCUGAAGGAUUUAAUAUUUGAUAUGCAUUCAAUAUGUAAACACAACAUUCUUAGCUAAUUUUUUAUUAACCAUAGGAAAGUACCUUAUUAUCCUUGCGUACACUUAAGGCAACAGAUAAGUUAAGAUCCAUAGAUGAUAAAAUCAUUACUGACUCACGUCGUAAUUAACCCAUCUCAAGUAACUCCUUAGAGGACGAACAGUCCUACCCUACCUUGUUGCUUCUACAAGGAGGACGAGUCUAGACGACAUCGAGGUGGCAAACACCGCUGACGAUAUCAACUCUCACGCGGUAUUACCCUGUUCAAUUUUGUUAUCGUUGGUUUUUUAAUUUACAACUUCUAUAUAUUACUAUAUAGUUCAGACUAUGUCUUUACCUAUUUCUCUUUUUUUAGGUAUUGGGCGCUCGUGGUGAUAUUAUUGUUAGUUUACUCAAUCACUAGUCGUUGAACGUUUAUAUAUCUAUAAAAAACUUACCCCAUCAUAGAUGGGCAUAUAUAUUUCGCUACAAAUUGUCUUAUUAAUAAGAUAUCUUUGUAAUUCACCCAAUUUAUAUACUUUCAUAAGAAAGUUAUCUCACUAACGCGGAGAUAUAUAUAUAUUUCUAUAUAAAGGAACUAACAUUUUAUCCCUAGCGUAACUUUAAUUCGUUAUCGACAUCCAUACCAUUUGUUUAUGCCUGUUCACUACACUCUACUUAUGUACUAAUUUCACUUGUUUGUGUCAUUAUCAUCGCACAAUUAUGUUGUUAUCCUUACUUAUAAUCUUAUUCUAUUUACCAUAUAGAAUUAUUGUACGUAAUUUACUAUUAAAUAAAAAAUUUAAUUAAAUAUCUUGUUUUAUAUUAAAAACCAUUAUUAUUAGACACAUCAGAUGCUUUCGCUGAUGUCGACGCCCCAUCGAAACUAACCUCUUUACUCUUUCUUAAGUUAUAUUAAUUAGAUUCUUUUUUCAUUUAUAUAGGUAUCUCAUUUUUUUUAAUAUAUAAAUAUAACCUAAUCUACUGAAAUGAAUAAAAAAAGGAAAACCACGAAGGUUUAAAAAUCAAAAUAAAGAUAUAGUAAAGCUGCAUAGGGUCUUUUUGUCAACCUACGGAUAUACGGCAUCUUCCAAUUCUGAUUAACUUAAAUGGGUUUGACCCAUAAAGGUUUAUUACUUAUGUACUAAUAAGCUUAAAUCCUAAUUUAUUGGAUUUAUAUCUUUCACCUUUAUAUAUAUAUAUUAAUAUAUAUUACAGAAUUCGACUGUACAUUUAGACAGACAUUUCAGUCUAACCUCGGUGAACCAGUCUGUAGCGACAUAUACAACUGCCGACGGUCUUUAACUAAGAUGUCAUUAACCGUUUUCACCUUUUAUUUAUAAUGAAUAUAAAAUACAUAUUGCCUGCCUUAUGUAAAUUAUCCUUUAAUUAAAGGUAAUAAUAUUAUUCGAUUGUAUUCUUAUUUUAAUAUUUAUCUAAUACUCACCCUAUGGGUGGGCAUCGCCCUGCUGGACCAUUAUAAAGUUGGAUUUUCACCAACCCGGCAUAAAAUAUCUAAAAUAGAUAUAGUACAAAAAGUCACCGCAAUUGCUAUUUCACUGAGUCUACUUUGGAUACAGUUAUCGCAUCGUUUAUUCAUUCAUGCAGGACGUCAAUUAUACGUCAAUGAAUUUGUUAGGAUAGGUAGGUCCUCUCAAACUUUCCCCCCUCUAGAACCGUGCGUGCGACUUUCAUCGCACACGGCUCAAACUAUAUCAAUCUAUAAUUCAUAUAAAUCUAUUAGCCUUAUACAGAAGUCUGCUUUCUUUCGAAAUUAGAUAUAUAUCUAUAUGUUUUAUAUUACAUAAAACCUUUCGCUUUUUCUGUUUAUCCUUUACCUUCAACACUAUAUAAUUAUUUCCAUAAUCUGUUAAAUUAUUUUAUACAUUACUUCCUAUACUAUUUUAUUUAAUAGGGAUGUUAAAGGUUUACCAAGUUCCCGUAUUAAGACUUUAUUGAAUGAUUUAGAUUACAGCUAUAUUCCGAUGACCAUUAUUUUUUUUUUCAAUCGUAUAAAGAAAUCCGCAGCGAUGAUUUUCUUUCUAGUCAUAUUUAUAACCCUACUGAUCUUGUUAUUAUCCUUUAACGAAAUUUUUAUACACUGUUUUGAUAUACUAAUCAUGUCAUUCUAAUCUAGAUGAAUUCAUUUAUAUCAGCUUAAAUUUAUCACCUUUUGUCUCUUAAGCUUCAUACAAAAUAAUUACUCAUAAUGCAUGUUAAGAUAGAUUUAAUAAAUACGAUAGUUAUUAGUGGAAUUACACCACAUUCUUAAUACGAACUUCUUGUCGCACCGCUACCUUCGGAUCCUCACAAUAAGACCGCCGUUUAUCAGUCUUUUAUAAAAAUAUCUAUUAAAUAUUUAUAUUUAUUAAACUAACACCGGGCAGAUAUCACUUAUUAUACUUACUAUUACUAGUAUGCAAUAAGCUAUGUUUUUGGUAAACAGUCGCACGAUUUAUUUUGCCGAGUUCAUUCAAAGUAGUUAUCCCAUUCCCUUUAUUAUCAUACCUGUGUCGGUUUACAGUACGGUUCUUUUUUUUUUCUUGUUCUUUCACCCAUUAAUUUUAUAUUUCUAUAUUAAUCUUAGGGACCGUUCGUUUAUAGUAAAACCUUAUGAAUAAGGGGAUAAUCUUAUAUUAUCUAUCGUUACUCAAGCCAGCAAUCUCUUUAUAAUUUUUCAUUAUAUAUUCUGCUACCAUAUAACUUUUAUUAUAUCUAUAAUACUGUUAUUAAUUUAGACCCGUAUAUUUUCUCUAUUAUUAAUAAAUAUAUAAAAUAUAUAUAUAUAUAAAAUUAGUGCAUUGUUACAUGUUCAUUAAAAGUUGAUUAUUAUCAAACCCACUUACUAAUUGUCUAUAAUUUAAUUCCCCGUAUAAUAUACGUUUAAAUAGGAUAGAUUUUAUUCACUUAAUUAAUAUUUGGGACAUACAUUUAAUAGUCUAGGUUGUUUCCUUCUCGACUUACUACCUUAUCGCAAUAAGUCUGACUCCUUAUCUUAAUUAUUAACUGAUUCCGAGGUUUAAAUAUUUUGAUAAAAUUAUAUUCUAAUUCCCCAAAGUUAUUUAAGUGCUGUACCAGUUUAAAAAAAAAUAAAGGCUAUACUAAAAUAUAUUUCGCAGAAAACCAGCUAUCUGCAAACCAGAUUUGUCUGUCACAACUACACACAUCUCUUUAGAAAUUAUUGCUACAAUUACCUAUUGAGUCAUAUAUAAACUUAAUUUAAGUUAAAUAUACACUUGAACAUGUGUAGAUCGUUUGCUUUCGGGCCUAUAUAAUUUAAUUCCCCUACUUGUUAGGUCAUACCCACCCCUAUUAUAAUAAGGGUGGAUAUUAAGAAUCUAAUUAUAUCUAAAAAUCUCUUUUUCACUAAAUUAUAUAACUCACUGGCCCAUUAUACAAGAGGUACGUCAUACUAUGACUGCUCUUUAUUAUUCUAUUUCAUAAUUUUCCUUUACAGUACUUUAAUCUAAAAUUUCAUUUAUACCCUUAGAAGUUGGAAACUACUAUAUUCUUACCACAUGGUAAUACUUUAAGAUUUUAAUAUUUUCACUCACCGUUACUUAUAUUAUCCCUGUUGGUUAUUUUACUAGUUACUCAGAUGUUUCAUUCCACUAGUUUUUCUUUUUCUCAUUUUCAUGAUUAUGAUUGAUUUUUUUAUCUUUAUAUCAUAUUUAAAAUUUUGAUUCAUUAUCCUUAAAAUAAUAUUAAUUUCAUAUACCUAUUUUCAAUAUAUCACCU
rnacentral:rRNA from 1 species